UCUAUAAUAUCUAUGCUGUAAUCCAGCUUGUAAUCCCUGGUAAUCCAAGUAAUCCAGCUUGUAAUCCCUGGUCCGGUAAUCCAAAGAAUCUACCUAUAAUCUUGGUAAUCCACUCAUAAUCUUGGAAUUCUCCUGGUAAUUCAAAAAGAUUUUCUUCCCGUUGCGAACCCCUCGUUACCAACUUGCCAAGUUGCCAGCAUGACUUUUUAUAGUAAAGCAGGUGCAAUUGCUGAAGCUCUGUUGGACCGAGCAAGUGCUGAACAGAUUGUGUUUAAUGAUAAGAAGACAGAAUUCCUGGAGGACGAGACUAAUAAGAAGCCUCUAGAUCAAGUAAGCUCGCACAAUAAUGGAGACACGCCCAUCACACCAAAGGAUUUUUACUGGGACCAGAUCCUCCUUUAUCUGGUGUCGGCUAUUCUGGGUCUGAGUUUCUUAAAUACAACUGUAGAAUUUUUCAGAGGGUCUACAAUACAUUGUUAUAUUUCUGAUACUGGUACUUCUCUUGAUCAAGUGACAUAUCUUAAUAACUACUGCUAUAGUAGUUUACCCAACAGUCAGCAUUAUCUAAUAUUUACACUAAUAUCUGCUCUUAUUAUUAUCGCACCGCAUUAUUUGUGGGCAUCUUAUUUUGGAGCUUAUUUUGAUUUUUUUUUUGACUUGACAAAAAAGCUUCAUCGUCUUCGAGACACCAAAACUGGCGAAUAUAAUUCGUAUAAUUUUGAACUUGUUAAGAAACUGGAGCAGAAGUUUUCUUCAAAUCCAUGGAUGUUCCGUUGGUAUAAGCUAAAGCUCUUAACUCAUUUAGUGACGUGUACAAUAUUUGAAAUCGUUAAUGCUUUUUACUUUGAGGCAGAUGAUUUUAACAAGUCAUUUCCCUGUCCAGCAGACAGUAGUAUUCUCAAUACUACAGUCUGGCCACUACCCGAGCAGCUCAACUGUGUUUACAAUAGUCUGACGUUACUUUAUUUCCUACGUAACACUGCACUUGGUUUAGUUGCUGCUGCUAUAGUAGUGAUUAUGAUUGGACUUGUUUGGUGUUUUCUACCUCAUACAACUGAGCUUGGUGCUAAAGACAUUGCUGCAUUUUGUGAUUUCUCUUGCCUGCCUCCUGAAGAAUAUACUUUUCCUUCUCUUUGGAAAGUUGUGCUCUCAAUUUUUUCUUGUGCUGGAGAAGAACGAAUAUGGUCAACUUCAAAUGUCAAGCAAGUAUUUUCUCCACGCAUACACACAGAUCUUGAUUUUCUAGUAACUCGAUUGUUUUAUUCUGAUUCUGGUCAUGGACAAGUAUUCAAAGAAAUUCAAAUAUUGAAAGAGUUGGAAUACAGAAGCAUACAAGAUCACAAGCUAAUGUAUCUUUUGAACAUGAUUUAUGAAAAAUAUUUGAUAAAUAAAGGAGGUUUUGCAACAGAGUGUGCAAAAAUGAGCUUUCUUCAAGAACAUUAUAAAGAUAUUCAAGCAUAUUUUCUUAAAACUCAUAGUUUUGAUGAAAACAAUAUUGAGCAGUCACUGUAUUUUGAAUUUAAGAAGGGAAGUGGUGCAAAUGAAACAAAUUGCCACGGGUCUUGCUCUACAUUUAAAAGUGAAAUUUUUCGCUUUUUCCGAUUUGCUCCAAGAAAAAAAUGUGCAUUAGACAUUUCUUUUGGCAAUAGAAGAGGUCAUUCACUUAUACUGGCAAGAGCAUUCAGUGAAUCACUGACAAUACAUUUCAAUAAGUACUACAAAGAUUUUGAAGAAGUGUGUCAUAAAAAUGACUAUCAUGCAAACUAUUACACACUGACUCUUCAAAAUGACAUUUAUGGACAAAAUGCUGACAGUAAUGCAAAGUCUGAUAUUCCUAUUGUUCAAUUCUUAAAAUCCGAAGAUGAAAUAAGAACAAUAGAUCUCAUUACAGUAGGACCAAUCACAGAAUAUUCUGAUAUAAUAACAACUAAUAUAUUGCUUCACAAAAUCCACAGGCAAAAUAAGUAUUUCACCAAGAAAGCUAUUCUGCUUGCAAUACGUCCAUUAGAGAUAGGAUUUGAGCAGCGUUCAGAGCAUUUUAUACAAUAUAUACCUCCUCAAAGAAUAUUUAAAUGUCACAGUGAACCAACCGAGAAAGAUUUUGUUGUUGAAUGCAACAAUGUACAAUGUGUUUAUGAGUUUAAGAUGUAUUGCUACACUGGUAAUACCGAAGAAGAACAAGUCCCAUAAGACACAAGUAGAUAAAUAAUGAUUUUGACUGCUUAAGAUUUUGUCCCUCACAUGACUAGAUUGCAUCUAUCUAAAUUUAGAUAUAUUAUACACAUGUAGUCUAGAUCUAUAAUUAUUGUGGGUUUACAUUGUAUCAACCACCAGAUCAGAGUUCAAUAUUUUACAUAUGGAUAAGCUGAGUCCCCCAGCACCUCAGCCUACUAAAAAGAUUUUUUGUAAGCAAGUAUGGCUAGCACAGCAAGUGCAAUGAUUGCUGGAGCUGUGUUAGACAAUGCAAGUGCUGACAAAAUUAUUUGUGUUCAAUGAUAAGAAGACAGAGUUUCUGGACUCAGAUAAGUUAGAUUUAUCCAGCUCCAAUAAAGGAGGUAGCAGUGGUGACACACCCAUCACACCAAAGGAUUUCUAUUGGGACCAAAUCCUCUUUUAUCUGGUAUCUGCCAUUCUGGGUUUGAGUUUCUUAGAUAUAUCAGUUGAGUUUUUCAGAGCAGUGUUAUAUCACUGAUAUUGCUGCUUCCCUUGAUCAUAACUACUGUUAUAGUUUACCCAAUAGUCAGUAUUUAUAUGUACUAAAUCUGCUCUUAUUAUCAUUGCUCCACAUUAUUUGUGGACGUUGUAUUUUGGAGCUUAUUUUGAUUUCUUUGACCUGGCAAAAAAACUUCAUCGUCUUUGAGACACUAAAACUGGCGAAUAUGAUCUGUAUAAUUUUGAACAUGUCAAGAAGCUAGAACAGAAGUUUCUUUUUUGAACCCAUGGAUGUUUUGUUGGUAUAAGCUAAAGCUCUUAGCCUUAGGGGUGUGUGUGAUAGUGGAAACUGUUAAUGCUUUCUAUUUUAAGGCAGAUGAUUUCAAUGAGUCAUUUCUCUGCCCUACGAAUACCAGUUUUCUUAACACUACAGCCUGCAGGCCACUACCUGAGCAAUACUGUGUUUACAUAGUCUAACAUAGCUUUUUUAUGUAACACGGCACUUGGUUUAGUUGCUGCUGCUAUAGUUGUGAUUAUGAUUGGACUUGUUUGGUGUUUUGUGCGUCACACUAAUGAGCUUGGCGCUAAAGACAUUGCUGCUUUUUGUGAUGUCUCUUAAGUUGCCUGCCUCCUGAGGAAUAUCCUUUCCCAUCUACUCAAAAAAUUCUUUACAGCUAUAUAGGAUCCUAUACUGUGGCAAAAAGGAGAGACUUCUUGAAAGAUACCAACCGAAACUAUUCAUUGAAAAUCAAAAGGAACAAUCAAGUAUGCUUGAACUAAGUCCAAGCCAUAUUGAGAACAUUGCCAAGUCAAGUCAAAAUGAAGAAGAAAAAAUGAAAUCCCACCCUCUGCUCAGACUGCUCUCCUUGUUUUACUGGUUUCUUGAAAGGACUAAAGCAAAUAUUUAUUCCAUGAUUACACACAGAUCUCGAUUUUUUAGUAGCCCGACUGUUUUAUGCUGAUUCUGGCCAUGGACAAGUGUUUAAGGACAUUCAAAUACAGAAAGAGUUGAAAAAGAAAAUAUCACAAGGUCAUGAGCUGCUAUAACCUACUUAACAGUGUUCAUUUUCAUUUGUAAAAAAGUGUAUCAGAAGGAAACUUGCUUAUGAAAGGAAGGGCAAUACCAAUGCCAGAAGAUAAAGAGUGGGAGCGGCUGAAAGAUUUUUAAAAUACUUUUUUGAAUCAAAAGUCGGUGAAAAAAAUUCUGAAGAGAGAGUAUCAUUUUGUAAAAAAGACUUAGGAGUCAGGAGUACUGAUUGGUCUCAUUCUCCAGUAUUUGGUUUUCUUAAGUUUGCUCCUAACAACAGGCUAGCUUUAAACAUUUCUUUUGGCAGUAGGACAGGUCAUUAUCUGAUUUUAGCAAGAGCAUUCUAUCAAGUAUUCCCCUCCAGUGAUUCCACUGUUUUUGAUGUACCAUCAACUGGACAUGUCAUGUUGGUUUUCUGCUUACCACAUGGAAUACCUUUACAGUGGCUUGGAAUCAAAGUUGCUGUAUUUCAGGCUCUUAAAUUGUAUGAAGUGGAUUACUGGAAGGGCUUUUUGUUCUUCUAUGUUAUAAGAUAUCAUCUUUCAUCAGUUUCAUGAACAAAUCAUUGCACGAGGGCAUAGUGGCAAUGGAAUAGUUAUGGCAACAAGCUCUAUGAUCUGCUGCACACUCAAGACAGUACGUUUGUGAAUGUGAACUGUUGUGACACUCAAAUUGGAACUUUGUCAAUGCCAUCUCAUAAUAGUAGAACUGACAGCAAUCACAUUGACCAUACCAGUUCCCACUACUGACUGGUUUCUGGAACGAAAACAUCAAAAGGGUGUAGACAUUGCUAACUGGAUUGUAAGGCUACUAUGUCAAGUGAAGGAGGAGAGUUUAACGCCCCAAGAAUAACAGCAGUAGAAUAACAGUGGCGUACACUUGAAUUCAUUAUGAAUAAGGUUAUUGAGUGAGGUUUGAAGGAGGAGAGAGCCAUCGCCUCAGCUCAGGACUAACCCAGUUCCCAGCUCAGUUUACACUCAAUAAUUUAUUUUUAAUAAUGUUUAAAGUGUGAUAAGGCUUCGGACAACCUUAACUGAGCACUCAGUAAUGUACAUUCAGUUAUAGUGUCUACAGCUGUGUAUAUGCAUGCCAGAACCUAUUGGGACAUUGAGGUAGUGUAUAGGUGUUGUUGUUCAUUCAAAGGACUUAAACAAUCAUGUCAUAUUGUACAGAUUAAUAAACAAUUCUUUUAUAACUAUGAUAA